ensembl:lncRNA
CCGCUGCCGAGGGAAAUGCUGGCGCGGCUCUCCACUAGCCAGUGAGGUCCAGGGUCACGCCGAGAGGCCGGAGGGGACUCCAGGAAGCCUCGAGAAGACGGCCCCGGGCCGCGGCCACUUCUCCGCGGGGAAGUGGACACCUACUUUGCGACCCGGCUUGCGCGGAGCCCCCUCCGGGGUCGCGAGCGUGGGGGUGCGUGGAUGGCACUCUGCGAUGGCGCAUCCACAGAGCUGAGGACGUGGAGGGCGAGCAGAGCUGCGGCGCCCGCGCCGGGGCGGGGGCCUGCGGGGCGGUCCUGCCUUCUGGACUGCGACUCGGGGCUGCGGGAGGCCCUGCACCGCUCGGCCGCCCGGCCCAGUCCUCCUACCUCUCCGCUCACUUUGCCGCCCCAGCUUCUCCCCUCCCCCCGCAUCCCUGUCCCCUGGCUUCUCUCUGCGACGCCUUUGCCCGACAGAAAGCCAGCAGGAAAGCGUCGCCGAGGGUCUGUCCACGGAUCUUUCGGAUCCAAGUGUUCGGGAUGAGACUGGCCGAUCCGGGAAUCGCAUCCGGCGCCCACACCCCGCAAACUCGUGGGCAGUUGCGGGUGCAAGAGGCCGCGGAGGGGCGACGCGCCCGCGGGAACCCCUCCUUGCGCAUCUCCGGCGCCCCAGCUUCAGCCUAUUCUCGCCCGGACCCUUGGUUUAUUUGGUGAAAUCUGGGAACGUGGAGAGGAUAGAAGAGCAGUUUUUCUUUCUUUCCUUUUUUCUUUUUAACUAAAUGUGCGUGUUAACUCAUCGUUUCUUGGAUAUAAGUGUCCUCAGCGAAUUCUGGAUUCUUGGGGAAAACCUACGAGCACUGAGCAGGACAGGAACACGCCAACUUUGGUUCCAGUGCCAUCUGCAGUAAAUUCCUUUGCUUUGCUCUUCCCUCCUCCGUGUCCUGGAGAUGGAGGCCCCCGGGGGCUGCCCCAGGACACCAGCACACCCAGGACCUGGAGCCGGAGAGUAGAGCUGAGGGCGGGGAGGGCGCGGGGGAGGGGAGGCGGGCUGCAGGCCCCGGGCGUGGAGUUUACCUGCACCGUGGGAACCUCCCUUCCCCCGGGCGCGCAGCCCUGGCUCCGCCCUGCGGGGCCCCGCCCCAGGGAAGCCGGGGCCGCUGUCGGGCCGCCGCAGGGGAAGCUCGCCUGCGCAGGUGUCGCAGGGUCACACCCGCCCCGGGGGUUGCAAACCGCAAGCGAAAGUCGAGAGGGGCUGGAGCUUUUCCUCUAAUCCGUUUUACACUGUGAAAACCGCAAAGCUGUCGCCUAGGCGGCCACUUUUUAAUUGGGAGGCAAACAGACGAAACGCCAAAACAAAUGCGCAAGCUGACUUUCUUUCCGGAUGGUUUUCCUUCUCAACGAAACGCCCGCUCUCUGGUGAAAGGGAGGCCGAUCUGCGCUCACGUUUGCUCGCUUCGGGGCCUGGCCUGGGGCGCACGGGAGCCCGCGCCCCCAGCGCGUGGGGCAGAUCGGACUGCACCCCUCUCCCGGCGCUUUUCCCCCAGCCUCGGUCGUCCCCCGCGUCCCUCCUCGCCAUCCGCUCCAUGCACGCCCCAUCCCGCAAGCUCCACGCAAGCUUUCUCGCUCGCGCUGCAGAGCAGAUAUUUGACUUUCGUCAAUUGUUCCUGCCAGCUAUUUCGAUGAAAUAAAUGGAAUGUCGCUUAACAGGCAGAUGCUUUGAUACAUUUUCUUCUUAAAGGAUCUGAUUCCUGGCGUCCAAAGGAAACUGGAAUUUAAGAAAAUAACAGAAUGCGGAAUCUCAACAGUUGUUUUAAUGGCGGCUAGUUCGUCCCGUUCCAGAAGGCACAAUCCUUCGCCAUGGGACUUUGCUGCUCCCAUCCAGACGUGGAAUCUCUUCUCCACCCCCUGUAAUGCGGGCUGGCCUUUGUGACUGACUUUGACAAAUUUGAUAUAGUGGAACUGAUGUUUUCUAGUUCUGGAAUUGAGGCCUCAAGAAGCUUUGUGGCUGCCACCUUUGUCCUCUUGGAACGCCAUGCCACGCAGAAGCCCGGGAUGAAAGGUCAGGAGGAAGACGGAGGGACGCAGCUGUCUCUGCUGUUCGCUGAGUCCAGCUCCCCGCACCCCACUGAAUGCUGUCACACACAUGAGCCCAGGCAAAGUUGGCACAAAAAGCACACAGCCAACAGAGUCAUGAAAAAUAAAAAAAAAUCCUUGCUGUUUUAAGCCAGUAAGCUUUGAGGUGGUUUGUUAUAUAGCAAUAGUAACCAUACUUGUCUUGUUAUCUGCAAUUAUUUCAAUUGUAUAAAAUUGAGAGAGAAUUUGUUGAUAUGUCAGGUGUCUAAAUUGUGAUCAAAUCAAAGAGCUCUCAGUUUUUUGGUUUUUUUUUUUUUUUUUUUGAGUAAGAUUAGCCCUGAGCUAACAUCUGCUGCCAAUCCUCCCCUUUUUGCCGAGGAAGACUGGCCCUGAGCUAAAAUCUGUGCCCAUCUUCCUCUACUUUAUAUGUGGGAUGCCUACCACAGCAUGGCUUGCCAAGUGGUGCCGUGUGUGCACCUGGGAUCCGAACCGGCGAACCCCAGACCGCCAAAGCAAAUGUCGGAACUUAACCGCUGCGCCACUGGACCGCCCCGAGCUCUCACUAUUUUAAGAGCCUGAGUUAGCAUAUGUGAAGCCACCACGGGGGCCCAAGGUUACUAUGUGUGAUUGUUAUCAUGAUGUUGAUCCCUGAGGUUGGUGAGAUUUAAGAAAGUCACAUUAUUUUAUAUCAUCCCUACGGCAAUGCAGUGAAGCAGGCAGGGUGGUUAUUAUGUUCAUUUUGAAGAUGGAGAAACAGGUUCAGGACAGCCACAGAAGUGUUGAGACCAACAGGCUUGAGAAUGCAUAUCCCUGAGGAGAUGUCAAUGAACCUCAUUUUUCUCACUUGGAAGAUGAAGGGAUUGUAUCAGAGGAUUCCUGAAGUCCCGUUAGCCACGCCAGACGUCUCAGC